rnacentral:rRNA from 1 species
AUGGCUUUGUGUGAUGCCGCAGUCACGGAAGGAGGUGGCGGAAGGGGUGGGACGCUGGAUGUAGAGAAGGAGAAGAGGAGGCUCACCAGAGGAGAGGGUUGCGGGGUUGACCAGAUCGCGUCAGAGCAAGCGGGCAGGGGGGCGCCCAGGCUGAUGGUGCAGGAGAGUGGAUGCGUGAUGGAGGAUGGCAAUGUCGGUGAUGUGCAGGCAGUGGCGGAGCAUGUUGAUGGCGAUGGAAUCUGGGGCGGCGGCGGUGGCGCGAGGCUGCCUCCGACGUGUAUCCAAGGGAAGGGACUGAGGGAGGUCGUCGCCAUCGCUAUGGAUCCAGGGGAGGGAGGCCUCCGUCGCCGCCAUGGUUCCAGGGGGGAGGCCGCCGCCGCGGCUGUGGAUCCAGGGGAGGGGGGCGCCGUCGCGGACGGGGACCGGGGGACGGUGGAUGGAAGCGCGUCAGGAACGGGAUGGGUGGAGGCAGAGGCGCAUCGGGUCAGGGUACCAUAUAACUGGAAUUACCGAUGCAAGUCGAAGAAGGAUUGGCCGGUGCUGCCGGCUGGCAUCAAGUUUGAUCCCACGGAUCAGGAGCUGAUCGAGCACCUUGAGGCCAAAGUGAGUGCUGACAGCGCGAGAUUUCAGUCUCUCAUCGAUAUGUUCAUACCAACCAUCGACAGCGAACACGGCAUAUGCUACACCCAACCUGAGAAACUUCCAGGGUCCAGGGAAGGGUCCGACCACUUUGGGUCUAUAGUACGCAGCCUUUCCCUACAUUUCUGUAAGAGGCUGUUUCCAGGACUUGAACCCAUGACCUCAUGGUAUCACACUGAGUGGCCUAAGGAAGCAUUUCUUCCAGUGCAAUUCCAGGGCGUUCAAAAGGGGCACAUGGAUGCAUCACAAGAUAUAGUCGGAGUGCGGCAUGCACGCAAUGUGGCACAAGACCGGCAAUACCUUACCGGUGAUGGUCAAUGGCCGUACCACCUCGGGGACCUGGAGCAAGAGAAGGAGCGGGAGCUGGUCCUCUACAAGAUUUUCUACCAGACGAACACAAGGGCCAGGAGUCGAGCAAGUUUCAACUGGGAUGUAGACUGCUCAGGGUUGGUUUUGUUUUUAACAGGCCCAGCCCAUGACGACAACGGGGCACAAAGAUCCAGCAGGUAUCUACUGGCCCUCCAGCGGUAG